CCCUUAGAUGUUCUGGGCCGCACGCGCGCUACACUGACGAAUGCAACGAGCUUAUAACCUCGGCCGAAAGGUCUGGGUAAUCUCCAAAUUUCGUCGUGAUGGGGAUAGAUUAUUGCAAUUAUUAAUCUUCAACGAGGAAUGCCUAGUAAGCGCAAGUCAUCAGCUUGCGUUGAUUACGUCCCUGCCCUUUGUACACACCGCCCGUCGCUCCUACCGAUUGAAUGGUCCGGUGAAGCGCUCGGACCGCGGCCUCUUGACGGUUCGCUGUCGAUUGGCUGUGGGAAGUUCGUUAAACCUUAUCAUUUAGAGGAAGGAGAAGUCGUAACA
rnacentral:rRNA from 1 species